rnacentral:rRNA from 1 species
GUGUGACUGCGUACCUUUUGUAUAAUGGGUCAGCGACUUAUAUUCUGUAGCAAGGUUAACCGAAUAGGGGAGCCGAAGGGAAACCGAGUCUUAACUGGGCGUUAAGUUGCAGGGUAUAGACCCGAAACCCGGUGAUCUAGCCAUGGGCAGGUUGAAGGUUGGGUAACACUAACUGGAGGACCGAACCGACUAAUGUUGAAAAAUUAGCGGAUGACUUGUGGCUGGGGGUGAAAGGCCAAUCAAACCGGGAGAUAGCUGGUUCUCCCCGAAAGCUAUUUAGGUAGCGCCUCGUGAAUUCAUCUCCGGGGGUAGAGCACUGUUUCGGCAAGGGGGUCAUCCCGACUUACCAACCCGAUGCAAACUGCGAAUACCGGAGAAUGUUAUCACGGGAGACACACGGCGGGUGCUAACGUCCGUCGUGAAGAGGGAAACAACCCAGACCGCCAGCUAAGGUCCCAAAGUCAUGGUUAAGUGGGAAACGAUGUGGGAAGGCCCAGACAGCCAGGAUGUUGGCUUAGAAGCAGCCAUCAUUUAAAGAAAGCGUAAUAGCUCACUGGUCGAGUCGGCCUGCGCGGAAGAUGUAACGGGGCUAAACCAUGCACCGAAGCUGCGGCAGCGACGCUGAUGCGUUGUUGGGUAGGGGAGCGUUCUGUAAGCCUGCGAAGGUGUGCUGUGAGGCAUGCUGGAGGUAUCAGAAGUGCGAAUGCUGACAUAAGUAACGAUAAAGCGGGUGAAAAGCCCGCUCGCCGGAAGACCAAGGGUUCCUGUCCAACGUUAAUCGGGGCAGGGUGAGUCGACCCCUAAGGCGAGGCCGAAAGGCGUAGUCGAUGGGAAACAGGUUAAUAUUCCUGUACUUGGUGUUACUGCGAAGGGGGGACGGAGAAGGCUAUGUUGGCCGGGCGACGGUUGUCCCGGUUUAAGCGUGUAGGCUGGUUUUCCAGGCAAAUCCGGAAAAUCAAGGCUGAGGCGUGAUGACGAGGCACUACGGUGCUGAAGCAACAAAUGCCCUGCUUCCAGGAAAAGCCUCUAAGCAUCAGGUAACAUCAAAUCGUACCCCAAACCGACACAGGUGGUCAGGUAGAGAAUACCAAGGCGCUUGAGAGAACUCGGGUGAAGGAACUAGGCAAAAUGGUGCCGUAACUUCGGGAGAAGGCACGCUGAUAUGUAGGUGAAGUCCCUCGCGGAUGGAGCUGAAAUCAGUCGAAGAUACCAGCUGGCUGCAACUGUUUAUUAAAAACACAGCACUGUGCAAACACGAAAGUGGACGUAUACGGUGUGACGCCUGCCCGGUGCCGGAAGGUUAAUUGAUGGGGUUAGCGCAAGCGAAGCUCUUGAUCGAAGCCCCGGUAAACGGCGGCCGUAACUAUAACGGUCCUAAGGUAGCGAAAUUCCUUGUCGGGUAAGUUCCGACCUGCACGAAUGGCGUAAUGAUGGCCAGGCUGUCUCCACCCGAGACUCAGUGAAAUUGAACUCGCUGUGAAGAUGCAGUGUACCCGCGGCAAGACGGAAAGACCCCGUGAACCUUUACUAUAGCUUGACACUGAACAUUGAGCCUUGAUGUGUAGGAUAGGUGGGAGGCUUUGAAGUGUGGACGCCAGUCUGCAUGGAGCCGACCUUGAAAUACCACCCUUUAAUGUUUGAUGUUCUAACGUUGACCCGUAAUCCGGGUUGCGGACAGUGUCUGGUGGGUAGUUUGACUGGGGCGGUCUCCUCCUAAAGAGUAACGGAGGAGCACGAAGGUUGGCUAAUCCUGGUCGGACAUCAGGAGGUUAGUGCAAUGGCAUAAGCCAGCUUGACUGCGAGCGUGACGGCGCGAGCAGGUGCGAAAGCAGGUCAUAGUGAUCCGGUGGUUCUGAAUGGAAGGGCCAUCGCUCAACGGAUAAAAGGUACUCCGGGGAUAACAGGCUGAUACCGCCCAAGAGUUCAUAUCGACGGCGGUGUUUGGCACCUCGAUGUCGGCUCAUCACAUCCUGGGGCUGAAGUAGGUCCCAAGGGUAUGGCUGUUCGCCAUUUAAAGUGGUACGCGAGCUGGGUUUAGAACGUCGUGAGACAGUUCGGUCCCUAUCUGCCGUGGGCGCUGGAGAACUGAGGGGGGCUGCUCCUAGUACGAGAGGACCGGAGUGGACGCAUCACUGGUGUUCGGGUUGUCAUGCCAAUGGCACUGCCCGGUAGCUAAAUGCGGAAGAGAUAAGUGCUGAAAGCAUCUAAGCACGAAACUUGCCCCGAGAUGAGUUCUCCCUGACUCCUUGA